AUUGAACGCUGGCGGCAGGCCUAACACAUGCAAGUCGAACGGUAACAGGAAGAAGCUUGCUUCUUUGCUGACGAGUGGCGGACGGGUGAGUAAUGUCUGGGAAACUGCCUGAUGGAGGGGGAUAACUACUGGAAACGGUAGCUAAUACCGCAUAACGUCGCAAAACCAAAGAGGGGGACCUUCGGGCCUCUUGCCAUCGGAUGUGCCCAGAUGGGAUUAGCUAGUAGGUGGGGUAACGGCUCACCUAGGCGACGAUCCCUAGCUGGUCUGAGAGGAUGACCAGCCACACUGGAACUGAGACACGGUCCAGACUCCUACGGGAGGCAGCAGUGGGGAAUAUUGCACAAUGGGCGCAAGCCUGAUGCAGCCAUGCCGCGUGUAUGAAGAAGGCCUUCGGGUUGUAAAGUACUUUCAGCGGGGAGGAAGGGAGCAAAGUUAAUACCUUUGCUCAUUGACGUUACCCGCAGAAGAAGCACCGGCUAACUCCGUG
rnacentral:rRNA from 1 species